UACGUAGGGCGCAAGCGUUAUCCGGAAUUACUGGGCGUAAAGCGCACGUAGGCGGCUUUGUAAGUUAGAGGUGAAAGCCCGGGGCUCAACUCCGGAAUUGCCUUUAAGACUGCAUCGCUAGAAUUGUGGAGAGGUAAGUGGAAUUCCGAGUGUAGAGGUGAAAUUCGUAGAUAUUCGGAAGAACACCAGUGGCGAAGGCGACUUACUGGACACAUAUUGACGCUGAGGUGCGAAAGCGUGGGGAGCAAACAGG
rnacentral:rRNA from 1 species